rnacentral:sRNA from 1 species
UGUUUGCACUUAGCGGGAAGGGUAAGAACCUUCGACUAAGGUUCGACUCGAGCGCCAGCGAGAGAACGUUGCCGCAGGCAAUGGCCCGAAGGCGAGGCGCUUUAGCGCCGAGUAAUCCUUACCCCACCACUG